GACGAACGCUGGCGGCGCGCCUAACACAUGCAAGUCGAACGAGCGAGAGAGAGCUUGCUUUCUUGAGCGAGUGGCGAACGGGUGAGUAACGCGUGAGGAACCGGCCUCAGAGAGGGGGACAACAGUUGGAAACGACUGCUAAUACCGCAUAAGCCCACGACGCGGCAUCGGGCUGAGGGAAAAGGAGGAAUCGGAUUUGAGAUGGCCUCGCGUCCGAUUAGCUAGUUGGGGAGGUAACGGCCCACCAAGGCGACGAGCGGUAGCCGGACUGAGAGGUUGAACGGACACUUUGGGACUGAGACACGGCCCAGGCCUCUACGGGAGGCAGCGAUGGGGAAUAUUGAACAAUGGGCGAACCACUGAGGCAGCGAACCCGCGUGGAGGAAGACGGUCUUCGGAUUGUAAGCUCCUGUUGUUGAGGAAGAUCUUGACGGUGAUCAAUAAGGAAGUGCCGGCCACCUACG
rnacentral:rRNA from 1 species